AGCUCGAGGAAGGCAUUUCUACAGCUUAUGCCUAAAACACAGCGCCUGGAGUAGUAGCUUGAAUGUUUCUGGACUCAAGGAAUCUCAGAAGUAGACCUACAGGGAGGCAAGAUAGUUUCUCACUGCCUGUUCUAUCACCAUGGAUGGCAUUAUCUCAGUGUGGGCUACUGAACGCUGGUGAUAUCUAGGCAGAAUCCAGGAACUCAGUAAGUCGAGGAACAGAGGCCUCUCACGAGGGAAGACAGUAUCGUUUUAUACUUGUGGAAAUGGCCACAAUCCUAUUCAUCUUACAGUUAUGGAGGACAGCCAUCCACAACAACUUUCCUGGGUUUAACAUGAAGAGAAGUUUUGCUUCAAGUCUUUCGUGGAAACCUCCAUGGAAAGGUUGUUUGUAGCAAGCUCGCUGCUCUCAGGGAUCCUGCUUUGAUGGAUUAUAAAUAGAGAAGGCAUAUAAUGGAACUACUGUCCCUGCAUGGACAAAAGGAACUGGUUUACAGGUGAGACAUUCAGAAGACAGGAGAGCAUCCCUGAGGACACCUGGCACAGAGUAGGCAUUCAAGAAACACACGUGGAAGGAAUUCUGAUAACCGCAAUGACUAUCAUCUCAGUGUAUGUCAAAAGAAUGUGCUGAUACUGGUAUUAUUACUUUGGUUAAUACUAGUGUUCAUGGAAUUGUUAGAGGCAAGUCAAGAUUGUUAUUAUUGUUCUUGUCUUCUACUUUCUUAGAAUUAAAAAACACCUAACCAUUGUCAUCAGAAUUUUUUGUCUGUGACAAACUUUCAAGUUAGGCAACUAGCCAUUUUCCCAUUUCAGCCUCCAAAAGACUUAUUUAGUCUUGGAAUUAGUUCUCAGAAAUCAUUAAUUUGUCAGAGUAAGGCAAUUUAUGUCAUUUUUGAGAGAAGUAAAUGUCUUUUUUUCACGGCCAUGUCCUUUCUAUCUGUUUGCUUCUCAUGUCACUAGAUCAAGACAUUAGAAGUCCAUCCACUCAAGAAGCUCUCGGGAUACUUUAAGGAUGCGUUAUGAAAACCAAGAAGGGUGGGGGCAAAAAAAGGAGAUGUAAAUAUAAAUUCUUUGAGGCAUCUCAUUUACUUCAAAAUUUUACUGUAGAUAUCAUAUUUAUGACAUAGUAUAGACAGAAAAAUAUGGAUAUUUGUCCACAGCCUUAUUGAUAUUUUAUAUUUACUGACCUCAAGAAGUAUAAUCUAUACAUUGAUUUUUUUUAUCUUUAGAAUGUAAAACGUUUGAAAUUUUCAAAGAAGUUACAUGAUUUAGUCACAAAAAAGUCACAUCAAUGUUUCAUCUUUAUCAAGCCUGAUGAAGGUCUAUUAUUCCAAUGACCUCUGGGGUACUGAGAGAAUUAAUGUAUUGUAGUACAUGUGCUAUAAACUUGGCUUGGGAAGUACAACUAUAUUAAAGAUUAACUCACUUAUCUCUAUAGUUCAACAAAUUAGCCAUGUUGAUGAUCAUUUUAGUCAACAUUGUUACUAUUGAUGAAAUAUGUAUUUGAAUCAUUGUUAAAUGUGCACAAUUUAUGUGCACUGGUAUCCAAUUUAAGGUUACCAUACUUAUGCAACAAGUUAUUUCUCCUUACUGUAUCUUCAGUUCUAAUCUGAACAAAAAGAUCUGCAUCUUCCUUAAUUUUUCAUUAAAUAUCCUGACCUCAAACUAAAAUAAAAUGUUAUGCUUG
ensembl:lincRNA 1810006J02Rik RIKEN cDNA 1810006J02 gene